UACGUAGGGUGCGAGCGUUAAUCGGAAUUACUGGGCGUAAAGCGUGCGCAGGCGGUUAUGUAAGACAGGUGUGAAAUCCCCGGGCUUAACCUGGGAACUGCAUUUGUGACUGCAUAGCUAGAGUACGGUAGAGGGGGAUGGAAUUCCGCGUGUAGCAGUGAAAUGCGUAGAUAUGCGGAGGAACACCGAUGGCGAAGGCGGCUCUCUGGGACGGUACUGACGCUGAGACGCGAAAGCGUGGGGAGCAAACAGG
rnacentral:rRNA from 1 species